rnacentral:rRNA from 1 species
CUCCUACGGGAGGCAGCAGUGGGGAAUAUUGCGCAAUGGGGGCAACCCUGAUGCAGCAACGCCGCGUGAAGGANGAAGUUUUCGGUAUGUAAAGNUCUUUCAUCAAGGAAGAAAAUGACGGUACUUAAUAAAUAAGCNCCGGCUAAAUACGUGCCAGCAGCCCGCGGUAAUACGUAUGGAGCAAGCGUUAUCCGGAUUUUACUGGGUGUAAAAGGNUGCGUAGACGGGCUGUGNAAAGUCUGAUGUUAAAAUCCAUGGGCCCAACCCAUGGACUGCAUUUGAAACUAUNUAGCUUGAGUGUAGUAGAGGCAAGCGGAAUUCCCAGUGUAGCGGUGAAAUGCGUAGAUAUUAGGAGGAACACCAGUGGCGAAGGCGGCNUACUGGNCNUUCACUGACGUUGAGGCUCGAAAGCGUGGGUAGCAAACAGGAUUAGAUACCCUGGUAGUCCACGCUGUAAACGAUGAUUACUAGGUG